UGUGAGAGUGGUUGCGGUUGUGGAGGAGAUCGGGAAAACGCAGAAUCUGAGGCGUAAUACAAAAUGGAGAUCUCUGUAUCUUCGUGUUCUUGCAGAUUCAGUGCACCAUGGUAAUGGCCCGUCACUGAUUGACGGUGGGAUCGCGGCGGUCCGGCACUGUUUUCACCAUUUUCCGUAUAACUUCUUCAACCACUCUCCGCCUUCAUCCCGCUCUUCGAUCAUCAACGGCACCACUUUAGCACAGUUCUAUUCCUCUUCAUUUGCUGAAUCUUCUGGCGUUUGCUUAUGGCUUCGAUGGAGUCGGAAACUCCGGAUGUUUUGAAUGAGACGAGAAAUGCGAAUAAGAAGAAGAAUGGAAUUCGUAUGGAAUCGUUUUACCUACGUAAGAUCGGAUUCGGAUGUUUCAGAGUGCAACAGGACGAGGAAGGAAACUUCGAUAUGGAGGUCGUCAAUGGCGAUGGGGAGCGUCGGAAGCCCACACAUCUCCUCAUAAUGGUUAAUGGUCUCGUUGGCAGUGCCAAAGAUUGGGAAUAUGCAGCGGAGGAGUUUUUGAAGACGUAUCCUGAAGAUAUCAUUGUUCAUUGCAGUAAACGUAAUUACUCGACAUUGACACUUGAUGGCGUUGACGUGAUGGGAGGAAGACUGGCAGAAGAGAUUUUGUUGGUUAUCAAGAGACAUCCAAAUGUUCAAAAGCUCUCCUUCAUAUGCCAUUCAUUAGGCGGAUUGAUAGCAAGGUAUGCCAUUGCAAAGCUUUAUGAGCAAAAAGAAGAUGUCCAAGUGAAUGGAGAGUAUAACAAACAUGGGUCUAGAGAUCAAAGCAAUGGCGAGGAGUUUAAAGAGAAAAUUGCAGGGCUGGAACCAAUUAAUUUUAUAACAUUUGCAACCCCACAUCUUGGUUCAAGAGGGCAUAAACAGGUCCCUAUGUGUUGUGGAUUUUAUGCCCUGGAAAAAGUGGCUAUUUGCACAUCAUAUUUAUUUGGUAGAACUGGGAGACAUUUAUUUUUACUUGACAAGGACAGUGGAAACUGCCCCCUUCUUCUUCACAUGGCUGGCGAUCAUGAAGAUCUCAAAUUCUUAUCUGCUUUGCAGUCGUUUAGGCGGCGUGUUACGUAUGCUAAUAUGCGUUACGAUAACGUUGUUGGGUGGAGUACGUCUUCUAUAAGGCGUCGCACGGAGUUGCCGAAGCUCAAAGGUUUAUCAGGAGAUGGCAAAUAUCCAUACAUUGUAAAUGUUGAAACCCCAAAAGUUUGCAGUCCUCAAUUAUAUGUGUUGACUGGGGCCAAAGCCAAUAGAUUCAAGAAAACUGAGGUGGAAGAAGAAAUGAUCAAACGUCUAUCAAGCGUGGGCUGGGAGCGGGUCGAUGUUGACUUCCACAGAAGUAAACAAAGAAAUAAUGCACAUCUUACCAUUCAGGUCAACAGGUACAGAGUCAAUUCUGAUGGGGCCUGUGUGAUCCAACAUAUGAUUGAUAAUUUUCUCUUGUAGCAUGUGACGAAUUGAAUUAUUGACCAUUGAUUUCGAGCUUCGGUAGGGAAGGACGCCUGGUUUUGCUUUGGGUUGAUCGUUCCUAAUAACAUCUGUACUUAGCCUGAAUUGGAUUGAAUAUCAGCUUCAUAAUUGUAUUGUUUAGCUCAAAAAAAUAAUCAUUGGGAUAAUGAAGGGAAUCGACUCACAAUCAGGAAUGGCACUGUGCAUCCAUCAAGAAGGAAAGUAGCAGUAUUUGACUUAUAAUUCCUACUACUGCAAGUGAAGCAAUCAAUUUUGUGUUAGAAGGCUUUGAAGCAUUAGCAUUGUCAUGAGUUUGUGGUGUAAAAUACAAUAGCAGCAUAGAAUUAAUGUUCAAAAGAAAUUUAGCUCUGGAAGCUGUAGCCUCUGUUUUUUAUAAGAACUGUAUUCUCCUAGACUCUUACCAGUUUCCGCCAAUGGAGAUCAAACCCAUUAAAGUUGAGCAAAAAGUGCUAUGGUGAGAAUAGUAUGCAGCGCAUGGGAGUGCAUGGUUGGUCCUUUUCAGAGAUAGAACAGAUGAUUGCUCCUUUUGGCGCAGAUACAUGUUUAUUUCCACUUGCUCGUCCUCAUACCAUUGUGUUUUGUCCGCAUGGGAGUGCAUAGUUGGUCCUUUUCAGAGAUAGAACAGGUUACCUGGCAAAGCAAAGCUCAGCUGCACGAAGCAACCAAGGAUAAGUUUGGAAAAGAUGGUGGAAAUGACAACCUCCAUAUGAUCGAUCCACCAUGCUACUGUGGGAGGAGGGUCCACCUGUCAAUUCCGCUAGCCAAUUCCAUCCUUGUUGUCCCACGAGCGAUGCAUGUAACCAUACUGAAUAAAAGAGAGAAAAACAGUUCAAGACACCAACUAAAGCAAAAUCCUUGCUUUCAAGCCGGUUUGUAGUUUAGCGUACUGACAGCAGAAAUCAUUCUGCAUGGCUACUCUUUAAUAAUGCUUUAAUACAUAUUCAAGAUCUGUUGACUCUUAAUAACACUAUUUGAUGAAA